AUGAGCCAUUGCACCCAACCACCUUCUGGGCUUUUCACGGCGCUGUUCCUCCUCAGCAAGGGGAUGCUGCUGCUGAUGGAGCGAAAGCUGCAGGAGGUGCACCCGCUGCUGACCCUCUGCGGGCAGAUCGUGGAGAACUGGCAGGGGAACCCCAUCCAGAAGGAGUCGCUGCGUGUCUUCUUCCUGGUGCUCCAGGUCACCCACUAUCUGGAUGCCGGGCAGGUGAAGAGCGUGAAGCCGUGUCUGAAGCAGCUGCAGCAGUGCAUCCAGACCAUCUCCACGCUGCACGAUGAUGAGAUCCUGCCCAGCAACCCCGCUGACCUCUUCCACUGGCUGCCCAAGGAGCACAUGUGUGUGCUUGUCUACCUGGUGACUGUGAUGCACUCCAUGCAGGCCGGCUACCUGGAGAAGGCGCAGAAGUACACGGACAAGGCCCUCAUGCAGCUGGAGAAGCUCAAGAUGCUGGACUGCAGCCCCAUCCUGUCAUCCUUCCAAGUGAUCCUGCUGGAGCACAUCAUCAUGUGCCGCCUCGUCACGGGUCACAAGGCCACGGCGCUGCAGGAGAUCU
rnacentral:sRNA from 1 species